rnacentral:lncRNA from 1 species
CACGUCCCGUGGUUACCAUAUACGCUCAGAUUGCUGCGAUCGUGCAACAAAUGAACGUCCUCGCGGAGGUGGUCAAAAGCCUCCAACAACAGCAAACCCAGCUGCCACAACUACUGACGGAGCAACCAGCGAUGCGUUCAGUGCCUUCCAAACAUAGCCACCGUCAUUUGCGGCGAUCUCCGUCUCUUCCACCAGAGUGGCAUCUCGAUGUGCCACCCACCAUUCAUGGUGCCCCUCUCCUUCCCAG